ACUUUUAUAUCAUGAAAGAACUUUGAAGUCAUUAAGAAUUAAGAAUUCAACAUAAUCUUAUGUUUCUCAAGUAUAUAAGUUUUGAUCUUUAUCUGCUCUUAUACUAUACUCUGAAAAUUAAUUAGAUUGCUCUCACGUUGCUAUAUACUUAAUAUAUUAAAAAAAAGGUGUUGGAUUUUCAUUCGUGCUUUCUUUGAAUAUUAUUCUUGAUACUCCUUGAAAUAACUUGAAAAAGAAUCCAUCU
rnacentral:lncRNA from 1 species